rnacentral:rRNA from 1 species
UGGGGAAUAUUGCACAAUGGGCGCAAGCCUGAUGCAGCCAUGCCGCGUGUGUGAAGAAGGCCUUCGGGUUGUAAAGCACUUUCAGCGAGGAGGAAGGUGGUGAGCUUAAUACGCUCAUCAAUUGACGUUACUCGCAGAAGAAGCACCGGCUAACUCCGUGCCAGCAGCCGCGGUAAUACGGAGGGUGCAAGCGUUAAUCGGAAUUACUGGGCGUAAAGCGCACGCAGGCGGUUUGUUAAGUCAGAUGUGAAAUCCCCGGGCUCAACCUGGGAACUGCAUUUGAAACUGGCAAGCUAGAGUCUCGUAGAGGGGGGUAGAAUUCCAGGUGUAGCGGUGAAAUGCGUAGAGAUCUGGAGGAAUACCGGUGGCGAAGGCGGCCCCCUGGACGAAGACUGACGCUCAGGUGCGAAAAGCGUGGGGAGCAAAACAGGAUUAGAUACCCUGGUAGUCCACGCUGUAAACGAUGUCGAUUUUGGAGGUUGUGCCCUUGAGGCGUGGCUUCCGGAGCUAACGCGUUAAAUCGACCGCCUGGGGAGUACGGCCGCAAGGUUAAAACUCAAAUGAAUUG